rnacentral:rRNA from 1 species
AUUGAACGCUAGCGGGAUGCUUUACCCAUGCAAGUCGAACGAGUGGCGGACGGGUGAGUAAUAUAUCGGCACGUUCCCAGUAGCGGGGGAUCACUCCUCGAAAGAGUGGCUAAUACCGCAUACUAUUGUAGCGGCCGAUAUCGGAUUAGCUAGUUGGUGGGGUAAAGUCUCACCACGGCAACGAUCCGUAGCUGGUUUGAGAGGACGCCCAGCCACACUGGGACGGAGACACGGCCCAGACUCCUACGGGCGGCAGCAGUGGGGAAUUUUGGACAAUGGGGGAAACCCUGAUCCAGCCAUCCCGCGUGUAUGAGAAGGCCUUCGGGUUGUAAAGUACUUUUGGCAGAGAAGCGGUAUCUGCAGAAUAAGCAACGGCGAAGGAAGAGCCAGCAGCCGCGGUAAUAC